GAUGAACGCUGGCGGCGUGCCUAAUACAUGCAAGUCGAGCGAACAGACGAGGAGCUUGCUCCUCUGACGUUAGCGGCGGGCGGGUGAGUAACACGUGGAUAACCUACCUAUAAGACUGGGAUAACUUCGGGAAACCGGAGCUAAUACCGGAUAAUAUCUUGAACCGCAUGGUUCAAUAGUGAAAGACGGUUUUGCUGUCACUUAUAGAUGGAUCCGCGCCGCAUUAGCUAGUUGGUAAGGUAACGGCUUACCAAGGCGACGAUGCGUAGCCGACCUGAGAGGGUGAUCGGCCACACUGGAACUGAGACACGGUCCAGACUCCUACGGGAGGCAGCAGUAGGGAAUCUUCCGCAAUGGGCGAAAGCCUGACGGAGCAACGCCGCGUGAGUGAUGAAGGUCUUCGGAUCGUAAAACUCUGUUAUUAGGGAAGAACAAAUGUGUAAGUAACUAUGCACGUCUUGACGGUACCUAAUCAGAAAGCCACGGCUAACUACGUG
rnacentral:rRNA from 1 species